GCUUAACACAUGCAAGUCGAACGGUGAACACGGAGCUUGCUCUGUGGGAUCAGUGGCGAACGGGUGAGUAACACGUGAGCAACCUGCCCCUGACUCUGGGAUAAGCGCUGGAAACGGCGUCUAAUACUGGAUAUGUGACGUGGCCGCAUGGUCUGCGUCUGGAAAGAAUUUCGGUUGGGGAUGGGCUCGCGGCCUAUCAGCUUGUUGGUGAGGUAAUGGCUCACCAAGGCGUCGACGGGUAGCCGGCCUGAGAGGGUGACCGGCCACACUGGGACUGAGACACGGCCCAGACUCCUACGGGAGGCAGCAGUGGGGAAUAUUGCACAAUGGGCGCAAGCCUGAUGCAGCAACGCCGCGUGAGGGAUGACGGCCUUCGGGUUGUAAACCUCUUUUAGCAGGGAAGAAGCGAAAGUGACGGUACCUGCAGAAAAAGCGCCGGCUAACUACGUGCCAGCAGCCGCGGUAAUACGUAGGGCGCAAGCGUUAUCCGGAAUUAUUGGGCGUAAAGAGCUCGUAGGCGGUUUGUCGCGUCUGCUGUGAAAUCCGGAGGCUCAACCUCCGGCCUGCAGUGGGUACGGGCAGACUAGAGUGCGGUAGGGGAGAUUGGAAUUCCUGGUGUAGCGGUGGAAUGCGCAG
rnacentral:rRNA from 1 species